UAUGUUAUCCAGAAAUAUUAACAGAUUAUUUUCUGCAGAUGGAUAGUCAAAACAAAGGAAAGAACAAAUUAAUAUAGCCUACAUAGCAAAAAAAGAAGUUCCUCUUCCAUGAGCGUUUCUUCAGAAGAAGAUAGAAACACAACAUCAACAGAAAAAUUAUUGGAUUCAGCAAUAAAAACAGAAUAUCUACAUAAACCCACACAGCAAAACUCGAUUCCUUAUAUGGAAAUAGCGAGUACUACACAUAAUAAUAACCUUUUGCAAGGAUCUAGACCACAAUCUCAAAAUAUAUAUUCAACAUGCAUAUUAUUGGACAGGACCUUCAAAAAAUACACAAUAUACACAGAACAGAGAAGUCGUUAUAGCAUUUGGUAACUGCACUUUACCAAUUUCUUCGAUGAACGCAAAAAAUUUAGGCCCAUGAUUAGGGUAAACUUGACAGAAGACCAACAAUGUUUGCUAGACAACUUAUGACAUAUUCAGACAGUUCCACAUGCUUCAUCAUUUAAAGUUCAAAUUCUCAAUGCUUUAAGUUUUUACUUUCAUAAACAGUCACCAUUGAUUCCUGAAAAACAAAUAAAGAAGUUUACACAUUAUGUUGUCAUCAGGGGCACUAAAGUUGGGAUUUUUAAUAAUUGGGCAACAGUCAUAAAAUAUAUACAAUGUCAAAAUCCCCUUUACAAGGGAUGUUAUAGCUUCCAAGAAGCUAUGAAUAUUGCUCGAGAACAUUUUAGGUUAAACAAUUUUUUCAUAGAACCUGAACAGGUGAAAACAUUUUCAGAAAUAGCAAAAAUUAGUCCAGAGCAAAUGAUUAAAGCUUGUAUUUCGUAGUCUAUAGAAGUCAGCGGUUUUUUCCGGGUUUACUGUUAAACCAUAAACACAAAUGAUUAAAGCUUGUAUUUCGUAGUCUAUAGAAGUCGGCGGUUUUUUCCGGGUUUACCGUUAAACCAUAAACACAAUAUGAACAAAAAUUAAAAUCAAGAAGAAUAAACUUACAAGGAAGGCUAUGAGAAGAGAAGCAACUAGAGUCGUAUGUGCAUCAACAACUUCUUUUUUUUUUUUUUUUUUUUUGUAUAAGGGAUAUAAUAUGAAGUGCUUGAAAGAACAAAGAAUUUAAGAGAUAGGCUAAGAGAAUCGGAAAGAGAGUGUUUAGAGAGACGUGAGGGAAAUAACAACAGAUUUUUUUAUUCGUAUGAAUAUUCGAUGAUUUUUACAAUCGUUUACAAUCCUUUAUAUAGGCAAAUGGUAGCAUAAUAUUUACAAUUAAAAUAUCGACAGACAAAACUUGACAUUACAUAAAGUAAGAAAAGAC
rnacentral:lncRNA from 1 species